GGCUCAUGCCCUAGAGAUUUAGGUUCAAAUCCUAAGCCUGCGAGUACUGUAAUGAGUGAC
rnacentral:tRNA from 1 species